UGCUUUGUGCAGUGGCAGUAUGGUAGCCAAAGAAGUUUAUUGGAGGUGCAAUUAUUGCUAAUUGAAACCUAUCUUCUGCUUCUUUGUUGAGAUUUUCUCUUUGUUCAGUUGUUUGUAAGCAUGUUUGUAAUUGCUUUUUAAUU